rnacentral:rRNA from 1 species
AGCGAACGCUUGCGGCAGGCUUAACACAUGCAAGUCGAACGCAUCCUUCGGGGUGAGUGGCAGACGGGUGAGUAACACGUGGGAACAUACCUUUUGGUUCGGAAUAACUCAUGGAAACGUGAGCUAAUACCGGAUACGCCCUUUUGGGGAAAGAUUUAUUGCCGAAAGAUUGGCCCGCGUCUGAUUAGCUAGUUGGUGAGAUAAUGGCUCACCAAGGCGACGAUCAGUAGCUGGUCUGAGAGGAUGAUCAGCCACACUGGGACUGACACACGGCCCAGACUCCUGCGGGAGGGAGCAGGGGGGAAUAUUGGACAAGGGGCGCAAGCCUGAUCAAGCCAUGCCGCGUGAGUGAUGAAGGCCUUAGGGUUGUAAAGCUCUUUUAUCCGGGAAGAUAAUGACUGUACCGGAAGAAUAAGCCCCGGCUAACUUCGUGCCAGCCGCCGCGGUAA